UACGUAGGGUGCGAGCGUUAAUCGGAAUUACUGGGCGUAAAGCGUGCGCAGGCGGUUGUGUAAGUCAGAUGUGAAAUCCCCGGGCUCAACCUGGGAACUGCAUUUGAGACUGCACGGCUAGAGUGUGGCAGAGGGGGGUGGAAUUCCACGUGUAGCAGUGAAAUGCGUAGAGAUGUGGAGGAACACCGAUGGCGAAGGCAGCCCCCUGGGCCAAUACUGACGCUCAUGCACGAAAGCGUGGGGAGCAAACAGG
rnacentral:rRNA from 1 species